GGCCAGAUAGCCAAGCGGUAAGGCAGCAGUUUGCAAAACUGCUAUGCGUGGGUUCAAUUCCCUCUCUGGCCU
rnacentral:tRNA from 1 species